CCUAGGGUGGCUGCAGUGGGGAAUAUUGGACAAUGGGGGCAACCCUGAUCCAGCCAUGCCGCGUGUGUGAAGAAGGCCCUCGGGUUGUAAAGCACUUUCAGUGAGGAAGAACGCCUGGUGGUUAAUACCCAUCAGGAAAGACAUCACUCACAGAAGAAGCACCGGCUAACUCCGUGCCAGCAGCCGCGGUAAUACGGAGGGUGCGAGCGUUAAUCGGAAUUACUGGGCGUAAAGCGCGCGUAGGUGGCUUGAUAAGCCGGUUGUGAAAGCCCCGGGCUCAACCUGGGAACGGCAUCCGGAACUGUCAAGCUAGAGUGCAGGAGAGGAAGGUAGAAUUCCCGGUGUAGCGGUGAAAUGCGUAGAGAUCGGGAGGAAUACCAGUGGCGAAGGCGGCCUUCUGGACUGACACUGACACUGAGGUGCGAAAGCGUGGGUAGCAAACAGGAUUAGAUACCCUUGUAGUC
rnacentral:rRNA from 1 species